AUCGCUGGCUGGUAGGCUUACAACUGCAAGCUUAAACGAGAAAGUAUCUUCUGACAUGAGUAGAUAGGCGGACGGGUGAGUAACGCGUAGGAAUCUACCUAGUAGAAGGGGAUAGCCCGGGGAAACUCGGAUUAGUACCGUAUACCUCCUUCGGGAGAAAGAACGGCCUCUCUUUGAAGCUUUCGCUAUUAGAUGAGCCUGCGUAAGAUUAGCUUGUUGGUGAGUGUAAUGCUCACCAAGGCUACGAUCUUUAGCUGGUCUGAGAGGACGAUCAGCCACAUUGGGACUGAGACACGGACCAGACUCCUACGGGAGGCAGCAGUGGGGAAUAUUGGACAAUGGGCGCAAGCCUGAUCCAGCCAUACCGCGUGUGUGAAGAAGGCCUACGGGUUGUAAAGCACUUAAAGCAGGGAGAAAAAGUUAUAGGUUAAUACCCUAUGGCCCUGAUGUUACCUGCAGAAUAAGCACCGGCUAAUUCCGUGCCAGCAGCCGCGGUAAUACGGAAGGUGCAAGCGUUAAUCGGAAUUACUGGGCGUAAAGCGCGCGUAGGUGGUUUG
rnacentral:rRNA from 1 species